CACACACAGUCAGUCAGGUAUCUCCUCUCCUCUCCGCGUCUCUCUCUCUCUGUCUCGUGUCGGUCGCUCGGCGGACUCUCUCAGUGUGGAAUAAGGCGAUAUUCUUCAUCAUACUCCUCUUCAUCGCGCGUGUUUGUGGCUGAAGUGACAGAAAGAAUUAAAACCUUCCUCCGGAUUCCCUUACUGCUCUUCCUCAGCAUCUCUGAAGGCUUUUGGGGAUUUGAGCGCAACAACAACAACUGGAAUGUGACCAAAAGUUUUCAGAAAGGGAAAUUGUGAGGAGUUUUAUUCUUUCAGUUCCUCUGGCCGGAAACAGCGCAGAUGACGAGACUCGCAUGAAUGGUGCGGUCCGAUUUGGAGUGUGCAGCAAGUUUUUGGUUCAGGUUUCCAGAUGGAACCUGCGUGAUGAGCUGGAGGCUGCCAAGUCUGGUGAGUGUACUGUCGCACUAUGGCUGCUGUCACAUGAUCCAGGUGGAUUCUGCACACUGGUGGUGUUUGAGGAGAGUCCCCCGUUCACAAUGUAAAGCGCUUUGAGUGAAGUGUCAGAAAAGCGCUAUAUAAAUGUAACAUUCAUUCAUUCAACAACAGCUGUUUUUGACUCAAAUUAUAAUAUUAUUUUUUGGCCUUGUACAUGCUGCAACAUUUGCGGGAGUGAAUCCCUUAAAUUAUCGUUCUGUGUGUGUGCAGAAUAUAGAAACUUAUGAUGUUAAGUUUUAUUAAAAUAUGAUAACCAUAGCACAUUUUAGCAUCUUGCAACUGUAAACAGUUGAACCUGUUUGGACUUGCUGUUAUUUUUUAAGAAACUGAUAUUAGCGAUGCACCACCAUCAAGAGUUUUAUGUUCGUUUAACAGCAUAAUCUCUGUGGAACCUAAACGUACUGUCUUGCACUUCUAAAAGCGUCACUGUAUUAAAUCAAAUCAAAUCACUUUUAUUGUCACUCAAUCAUAUACACAAGUACAACAGUGGGUGAAACUCUUGGGUGCAUUUCCAAGCAACAUAGGAGUAUGACAAUUACAAUAAACAUCUGAUUUACACACAACGCAGUUUACACAUCUUGUUACACAACACAAUACACAAUAUACACCUAAUAAUAUACAAUAUACAGUAUACACAAAAUAAGAAGACUGUAUACAAUAAAAAUACACUGUACCCCCAGUGGAAAUAAAUAUGAAGUGUUGUGUUGACAUUCAGCUGUCGGUUGAUAGUCAGUUGCCAGUUUGUUAUUUAGAGAAGUAUAACAUUAACUAGCUGUUCGGUUUGAUUAGGAAGGUGGGUUUUUGUUGAUGUAGGCAGAAUGUUAAUCUCAGUCACCAUUCCCUUUCAUUGUACGGAAAAAUUAAGUAAAGCAUGCAGGGUCUGCUAAAUGCAUCCUUUUCAUUUUGGGUGAACUGUUCCUUUAAUAUCAGCAGUCUUUAAUAUGUGGAUUGAGUUAGGGUUGCCAACUGUCCCGUGUUAGC